UGCUGUAUUCCACCAAGUAAGUGAUCAGUCCCUCAGAAACCAGCACCCCACCCCCUACCCCUGCUCUGCCCUGCUCCUCCCAUUCUGGGAAGGCUACACUCUUCUCGACAAAGGUCAGUGCCUGUAGGUUCCAGUUUGCCUGCCCCUCCCCCAGCUGGGAGCCCAUUUCUCUUUGCUGUCCUUUCUACCCUCACAUAACCCCACACCCUGCUGGCCACUCACCGGGUGGAGAAGGGCUCCAGGACCCAAGUGCACAGCAGGCAGCCCUCUGGGGAGCAGAUGGGUAGGAAGACAUGUGGCGGUGGGGCACAGCCCCUCCACAGCAGCAGGUCAUACGCCUGCCUGGGCCACUUCUGCCCAAUCAGAGAAGGGAGCCACCAGACACUGGUGAAGGCCCCCGGAAGUGACGCCUUCUCUUCCCUGGAGCCCCUGCCUGGACCAGGGUCCACUCCUCCACCCACACACACCACGGAGAAGAUUUGGAUAGGGGCAUCCAUCUUUUCCUGGACAUGGGCAACCUGGGACCUGGAGGGGGACAGCAGCAGAAGUUUUUUUCCAGGAGGAAUCUGGCAGGACAUUUGUGUUGCUGGGGAAGAAGCACAGAGGAAAGACAGCUGCUGGACCUCCCCCGCAAAUACCUCCCUGCUGGCCCCCCUUUUCCUUUGGCCCUGGCUCUAGCUCCUUUGCUUUCUUCCCAGUCCCAGUCUCCCCACAGUCUCUGUCCUCAGGGGCUUCCUGGCCUGACCUUGAUCCCAUCAUCCCCCUGUCCCCCAGAACUUCCUCAGGCUCUCUCCUGUUCCUCCUCCCCAAGGAUGGGCAUGUCUGCUGAGAAGUGUGGCCUAGAUCCUGGAAUUUUCCCGUCCAGCCAGACGAGAUGUCUCCCAAGAUUAGGAAGGAGGGUGCUGGGAUAGCUGGGAGGAUAGUGGGUGUGUGUGGGAGGGAGAGACAGGAGACAGGGAGGCAGGCAUGACCAGGGAACCAAGAGAAAGGAGGCUGGGAGUGGGCUGGAGAGGCAGAGGGUCCCUUGGGUGAAGGAAGGGGGUGAGAAAGCAAGAGGGGACUGUCGAAUGCGCCUGAGGAUAAGUUACAAUGAGAGGGAGAUACUGUCACUCCACAGAAGGGGGAAUGCUGCCGGUUUCUGGCUAGGUCCCUGUCCUGGGUAACACAAGAAUGAGGAGCGACCUCAGAGAGAAGACAAGUCUUCAUCCUUCGGGCGGAACCGGGUCCUCGCUCACAGAGCGGUCCAGGCCUCAGGCCUAGCCUCUGCCCCUCCCUAGCCUGAGGCUCCCUUCCUGGGCUGGACACCGACCUCCUGGUCCAGCGGCCCUGUGGCCGCCAGCAGCGGGGGGCUCCGGGCCCGC
rnacentral:lncRNA from 1 species